GGGGGGGGAGGGCGGAUGAGAAACAAGAACGGAAAAGAUGAACGGGGUGCGGUCGAGGCAAAGCUGUGACAGCAAGCUUGUCUUCUUUCGUGACAAUUUUGAAAACGUAUUUCGUCUCCUGGAGGAUGAUGCCCGUGAUGCCAACGUAGGAAGGACAUUUGGAUUUAGUCACUGAAAGAAA